AUCCAGCUGACGAGUCCCAAAUAGGACGAAACGCUCGUCUUUGAU
rnacentral:hammerhead_ribozyme from 1 species